GAGCGUAUAGCUUAGUGGAAAAGCAAUAAACUUUUAAUUUAAAGAUCUUAGGUUCGAAUCCUAAUACGCUCA
rnacentral:tRNA from 1 species